UGGGGAAUAUUGCACAAUGGGCGCAAGCCUGAUGCAGCCAUGCCGCGUGUAUGAAGAAGGCCUUCGGGUUGUAAAGUACUUUCAGCGGGGAGGAAGGGAGUAAAGUUAAUACCUUUGCUCAUUGACGUUACCCGCAGAAGAAGCACCGGCUAACUCCGUGCCAGCAGCCGCGGUAAUACGGAGGGUGCAAGCGUUAAUCGGAAUUACUGGGCGUAAAGCGCACGCAGGCGGUUUGGUAAGUCAGAUGUGAAAGCCCCGGGCUCAACCUGGGAACUGCAUCUGAUACUGGCAAGCUUGAGUCUCGUAGAGGGGGGUAGAAUUCCAGGUGUAGCGGUGAAAUGCGUAGAGAUCUGGAGGAAUACCGGUGGCGAAGGCGGCCCCCUGGACGAAGACUGACGCUCAGGUGCGAAAGCGUGGGGAGCAAACA
rnacentral:rRNA from 1 species